GACCUCGGAUCAGGUAGGAAUACCCGCUGAACUUAAGCAUAUCAAUAAGCGGAGGAAAAGAAACCAACAGGGAUUGCCCUAGUAACGGCGAGUGAAGCGGCAACAGCUCAAAUUUGAAAUCUGGCCUUCGGGUCCGAGUUGUAAUUUGCAGAGGAUGCUUUUGGCGCGGUGCCUUCCGAGUUCCCUGGAACGGGACGCCUUAGAGGGUGAGAGCCCCGUACGGUUGGACACCAAGCCUCUGUAAAGCUCCUUCGACGAGUCGAGUAGUUUGGGAAUGCUGCUCUAAAUGGGAGGUAAAUUUCUUCUAAAGCUAAAUACCGGCCAGAGACCGAUAGCGCACAAGUAGAGUGAUCGAAAGAUGAAAAGCACUUUGAAAAGAGGGUUAAAUAGCACGUGAAAUUGUUGAAAGGGAAGCGUUUACGGCCAGACCUUUUCCUGGCGGAUCAUCUGGUGUUCUCACCAGUGCACUUCGCCAGGUUUAGGCCAGCAUCGGCUUCUGUAGGGGGAUAAAAGCAGUGGGAAAGUAGCUCCCUCGGGAGUGUUAUAGCCCUAAGCAUAAUACC
rnacentral:rRNA from 1 species